AUUCAUUUGGCAAUAAUUAUACUGCAUUCAUUACCUCAGGAAACCCUACUAAAUUCAUGAAGAAAAUGCUGCCUCAUUUGUUCCCUUUCCACACUUCACACAAAUAUUUGCUAAUGGUCGGAUGGGUGAAAAGACAAAUACAUUAGGCAUAAACAUGCCUCUGUGCUUGCGCCAUGAAGUGACAUUGUCGUGCUCUCAGCAGAGAGAGGAAAUGAGAAUACAGAUGAGGUUCAAAGGCAGUGACAGGAAAUGAGUUCUGCUUGUCCUCUGUGGCGCCAUGUACUUCAUCAAACCUGUGUAUGUACGAAAUAUUUUGUAGAUGGUAUGCGGCCACUGAGCCACUCAGUAAGUACGUCUGAGGAGCCACAAAGAGACAUGACAGGUCAUGUGUCACAGGUGAGCUGGAGCCUAUCAUAGCUGACUUUGGGCGAGAGCCGGGUGCACCGUGGACUUCUCGUUACCCAAUCACAAGCAGCAAAUAUCCUGUUGGCCCGAGCUGCGGGCUGCCGGUGCUGGCCUAUCUAGCCCUGGGAUCGAUUCAGCUCCAAGUCGAGGCCUACCAUUCAUCUCAGAGCCAUAAAAUGUGAUUAGUGCUGACUACAGCACUGCGGGGAGAUGGGCUGAUUGGCCUGUUAGGCUCAGAUAGGGCGUGUUGGACACUCCGCAGGAAGACAAGGCGCAACAGUAUGCUUAGGAUUCAUCCUAAUUUUGCCUUUUUCUGGACCCCAAUCUAUUUGAUUUUCUGUCGUUUGCAUCGUCCUCACUCACUCACUGCUCUCUUUGUUCUUGCACUGCUCCUUUGCAUUGUCUCGGCUUUUGUUAUCUAAGGCUGACAAGAUUAUCCGUGAAAAAUGAUAUCACAAAAGUCAGGAUUUAUUGCCAAUGUUUCCAGUUUUACCUUCGUCUUAUCCAACAAAGUCAUAUUUAAAUAGCACACCCCACCAUGCCCCCUCCCCGAGCUUUGUUAACUGUCAUUGCAUACAGUGUAUCUCUGUGCCAUGUGACCACCUCUGUCCACCAAUCGCAAAGCUCGCAGUUUGCCACUGGCACAAUCACCCUGGGAGACUGACAAGAACUGAUGCACGAAAAAGAAGAUUGCCUCAAUUCAAUAGGGGGGGGGGGGGUUGGAGGGGAGGGGGGCACUUUUUUUGUACACAACCAACUGAUGGAUGUUGGGAGUAAAGUUUAAUUUGACAGUUUGUACGAUUGAUCUUAAAUUAAGCUGCAUUCAAUUAUGUGGCAUUUGUUUUGUUACUGAUGUGCUUCCCAAUGAUGACUCCCAAACCAUAUUGCAUCGCGAAAAUAACUGAAUGAGCUUGAUUUAAGAUUGCCCGUUUUUAAUUUGAUUCAGCUAUUUCAAAGUACUUACUGGUAAAUAUGUGUAUUCACCUGCAAAACUCUCAGAAUGACAGAAUCUGAAUAGUAAAGUCUUAAGUAUGUAUAUGGAGUUCAAAUGUUAUGUGUGAAUAAAAAUUGGCACCAAACGUGGUACACUGAUAAGACUUUCUAACUGUGGCGUUUUAUUUGAUUACAUUUCAUUCAACUAUGGAAAAACAUGUUUUGUCAUGUCAUGUUUUGUCUCCUGAAGAAUGUCUGGAAUUCCUCUCUUUACCGUUUGACCGAAUCCCUUGAGUGCCUUUCAAAACAGAGAACACUGACCUGUGUCUCUCGGACAUUUUCCACGGUGAAGUUGAACCAGACGCGGAAUCGGGGAUUGCAGGUG